AAUUCAUGGCUGACAACACAU
rnacentral:misc_RNA from 1 species